rnacentral:tRNA from 1 species
GGGGGUAUAGCUCAGCGGUAGAGCAUUUGACUGCAGAUCAAGAGGUCCCCAGUUCAACUCUGGGUGCCCCAA